rnacentral:rRNA from 1 species
AGUUUGAUCAUGGCUCAGAGCGAACGCUGGCGGCAGGCCUAACACAUGCAAGUCGAACGGACCUUCGGGGUUAGUGGCGGACGGGUGAGUAACACGUGGGAACGUGCCUUUAGGUUCGGAAUAGCUCCUGGAAACGGGUGGUAAUGCCGAAUGUGCCUUCGGGGGAAAGAUUUAUCGCCUUUAGAGCGGCCCGCGUCUGAUUAGCUAGUUGGUGGGGUAAUGGCCCACCAAGSCUACGAUCAGUAGCUGGUCUGAGAGGAUGACCAGCCACAUUGGGACUGAGACACGGCCCAAACUCCUACGGGAGGCAGCAGUGGGGAAUCUUGCGCAAUGGGCGAAAGCCUGACGCAGCCAUGCCGCGUGUAUGAUGAAGGUCUUAGGAUUGUAAAAUACUUUCACCGGUGAAGAUAAUGACUGUAGCCGGAGAAGAAGCCCCGGCUAACUUCGUGCCAGCAGCCGCGGUAAUACGAAGGGGGCUAGCGUUGCUCGGAAUUACUGGGCGUAAAGGGAGCGUAGGCGGACAUUUAAGUCAGAGGUGAAAUCCCGGAGCUUAACUUCGGAACUGCCUUUGAUACUGGGUGUCUUGAGUGUGAGAGAGGUAUGUGGAACUCCGAGUGUAGAGGUGAAAUUCGUAGAUAUUCGGAAGAACACCAGUGGCGAAGGCGACAUACUGGCUCAUUACUGACGCUGAGGC